rnacentral:rRNA from 1 species
UACAGAGGGUGCGAGCGUUAAUCGGAAUUACUGGGCGUAAAGCGUGCGUAGACGGUUAUUUAAGUCGGGUGUGAAAGCCCCGGGCUCAACCUGGGAAUUGCAUUCGAGACUGAAUAGCUAGGGUACGGUAGAGGGAAGUGGAAUUUCCGGUGUAGCGGUGAAAUGCGUAGAUAUCGGGAGGAACACCAGUGGCGAAGGCGAACUUCCUGGCCUGUUCUUGACGCUGAGGCGCGAAAGCUAGGGGAGCAAACGGGG